rnacentral:rRNA from 1 species
AGAGAUUAUCCUGGCUCAGGAUGAACGCUGGCGGUAUGCUUAACACAUGCAAGUCGAACGAAAGUUUUUAACUUUAGUGGCGAACGGGUGCGUAAUACGUGAGAAUCUGCCCUUAGAAGGAGGAUAACUGCUGGAAACGGCUGCUAACACUCCAUAUGUCGAGAGAUGAAAUAAUUUAUUGCCUAAGGAUGAGCUCGCGCCUGAUUAGCUAGUUGGUGAGGUAAUGGCUCACCAAGGCCACGAUCAGUAGCUGGUUUGGGAGAACGAUCAGCCACACUGGGACUGAGACACGGCCCAGACUCCUCCGGGAGGCAGCAGUGAGGAAUUUUCCGCAAUGGGCGAAAGCCUGACGGAGCAAUACCGCGUGAGGGAUGAAGGAUUUUGGUCUGUAAACCUCUUUUCUCAAGAAAGAAGUUCUGACGGUACUUGAGGAAUAAGCAUCGGCUAACUCCGUGCCAGCAGCCGCGGUAAUACGGGGGAUGCAAGCGUUAUCCGGAAUCAUUGGGCGUAAAGCGCCUGUAGGUUGUUUAAUAAGUCUGUUGUUAAAGACUAGGGCUCAACCCUAGAAAAGCAAUGGAAACUACUAGACUAGAGUAUGGC